rnacentral:rRNA from 1 species
UACAGAGGCCUCAAGCGUUGUUCGGAUUCAUUGGGCGUAAAGGGUGCGUAGGUGGCGCUGUAAGUCAGGUGUGAAAUUUCGGAGCUCAACUCCGAAACUGCAUUUGAUACUGCGGUGCUUGAGGACUGGAGAGGAGAUUGGAAUUCACGGUGUAGCAGUGAAAUGCGUAGAUAUCGUGAGGAAGACCAGUGGCGAAGGCGGAUCUCUGGACAGUUCCUGACACUGAGGCACGAAGGCCAGGGGAGCAAACGGG